rnacentral:rRNA from 1 species
GCGCGAAAACUUUACAAUGCGGGCAACCGUGAUAAGGGAACCUCGAGUGCCUGUAUAUGCAGGCUGUCUGGGUGUCUAAAACACACCUAAAGAAAGGGCCGGGCAAGACCGGUGCCAGCCGCCGCGGUAAUACCGGCGGCUCGAGUGGUGGCCACUUUUAUUGGGCUUAAAGCGUUCGUAGCUGGGUUAUUAAGUCCCUUGGGAAAUCCGACGGCUUAACCGUCGGGCGUCUAAGGGAUACUGGCAAUCUUGGAACCGGGAGAGGUGAGGGGUACUUCGGGGGUAGGAGUGAAAUCCUGUAAUCCUCGAGGGACCACCUGUGGCGAAGGCGCCUCACCAGAACGGCUUCGACAGUGAGGGACGAAAGCAGGGGGAGCAAACCGGAUUAGAUACCCGGGUAGUCCCAGCCGUAAACGAUGUGCGUUAGGUGUAUCGGUGACCACGAGUCACCGAGGUGCCGAAGGGAAACCGUGAAACGUACCGCCUGGGAAGUACGGUCGCAAGGCUGAAACUUAAAGGAAUUGGCGGGGGAGCACCACAACAGGUGGAGCCUGCGGUUUAAUUGGACUCAACGCCGGAAAUCUCACCGGAUAAGACAGCUGAAUGAUUGUCGGGCUGAAGACUCUACAUGACUAGCU